rnacentral:rRNA from 1 species
UACGUAGGUGGCAAGCGUUGUCCGGAUUUACUGGGCGUAAAGAGCGCGCAGGCGGUCGUUCAAGUCGCGUGUGAAAGCCCCCGGCUCAACUGGGGAGGGUCACGCGAUACUGAUCGACUCGAAGGCAGGAGAGGGUAGUGGAAUUCCCCGGUGUAGUGGUGAAAUGCGUAGAUAUCGGGAGGAACACCAGUGGCGAAGGCGACUACCUGGCCUGUUCUUGACGCUGAGGCGCGAAAGCUAGGGGAGCAAACGGG